GAUGCUAAGAAUGUGACUCGGCAAAACUUUGGUAAAAGUAUACAAAACUUAUCUGAACAAUAGAUCAUUUUGAAUCGACUAUCAAAGUCUUCAAAUUUUUGAUUUUGCUAAUUCAGCCUCUCAAUUUAUCUAAAUUGAGUCAAUCAAGAAUACUUUAACUUUAAAUUUUGAACUAAUUUACUUACUUUAAUUUUUAUCAUAGUUGUGAGAAUUGAAUAAAGAAAAUACUGACUAAGUAUGUAAAAAUAAACGACAGAUUCAAAUUUUAAAUUUAAAAUAAUGUUAAAUAACUUAAAUUAAAAAAAAUUUGAAAGAUUAGACAGUUAAAUUAAAAAUUUUAUAAAAUUAGAUAGUUGACUCAAAAUGGUUGGAAUAAGUUUUUGUGCCUUGUAAUCUUAAACAUUUUAUGGCAACACACCAUGAUUCCUCAUCUGUCAAUCAACUCACCUUGCUAUCUUAUCACAUUGUGCAAAUUUGCACA
rnacentral:lncRNA from 1 species